UACAGAGGUCCCAAGCGUUGUUCGGAUUCACUGGGCGUAAAGGGUGCGUAGGAGGCUGGGAAAGUCGGAUGUGAAAUUUCGGAGCUUAACUCCGAACUGCAUUCGAUACUGCGGUGCUCGAGGACUGGAGAGGAGACUGGAAUUCAUGGUGUAGCAGUGAAAUGCGUAGAGAUCAUGAGGAAGACCAGUGGCGAAGGCGGGUCUCUGGGCCACUACUGACGCUGAGAAGCGAAAGCAUGGGGAGCGAACAGG
rnacentral:rRNA from 1 species